UACGAGGGGGGCGAGCGUUGUUCGGAAUUACUGGGCGUAAAGCGCGUGUAGGCGGCUAAGUAAGUCGGGCGUGAAAUCCCACGGCUCAACCGUGGAAGUGCACUCGAAACUGCAUAGCUAGAGUCCUGGAGAGGAAGGUGGAAUGCUUGGUGUAGAGGUGAAAUUCGUAGAUACAGCGAACACCGGUGGCGAAGGCGGCCUUCUGGACAGUGACUGACGCUGAGACGCGAAAGCGUGGGGAGCAAACAGGG
rnacentral:rRNA from 1 species